CGGGCUGUAGCGUAGCUGGCUAGCGCACACGAUUCGGGUUCGUGAGGUCGGCGGUUCGAAUCCGCCCAGCCCGA
rnacentral:tRNA from 3 species